rnacentral:misc_RNA from 1 species
GGACUUCAAGGUGGCCCCCACAAUCACACAAUUUCUGGCUUAGCUGUCGCACUGAAACAAGUCAUGACACCAGAAUACAAGGCAUACCAAGAGCAAGUUCUUAGCAAUUGCUCUAAGUUUGCUGAGAGUUUGCUGGCAGCGGGAUAUGAUCUUGUAUCUGGUGGAACUGAGAAUCAUCUCGUGCUGGUUAACUUAAGAAAUAAGGGUAUUGAUGGAUCUAGAGUUGAGAAGGUUUUAGAGUCGGUGCAUAUUGCAGCCAAUAAGAAUACUGUGCCUGGUGAUGUAUCUGCCAUGGUACCUGGUGGCAUUCGCAUGGGCACCCCAGCUCUCACUUCUAGAGGUUUUGUUGAGGAGGAUUUUGUCAAAGUGGCUGAAUAUUUUGACGCUGCUGUGAAGUUGGCCCUUAAGGUCAAGGCUGAGACCAAAGGAACGAAGUUGAAGGACUUUGUGGCAACUUUGAGUUCAGACUCCAACAUUCAAUCUGAGGUUGCCAAGCUAAGGCAGGACGUUGAGGACUAUGCCAAACAAUUCCCUACUGUUGGUUUCGAGAAAGAAACAAUGAAAUACAAGAAUUGAGCUUGGAUCUAGUGUUGAGGUACUUCUGUUGCCUUACUUUUCUCCUAAACGAAAAAAAGAGUUAUUUCUGAUGUAUUUUUCUGUUUAUUAUACCAGAAUGUAAAAUCAUGUGUUUUUAAGUUUUUAACACUGGGUCCAUUUACUUAUUCAUUUAAGGCAGUGAGGCUUCCUUUUUCUUCACUCUCUGUAAUUUUGCUGUCUUUGGCUGUAAGUGUAAAAUGUGCAAGAUGAUUGCCUAUUUAGUUCUAG